rnacentral:rRNA from 1 species
AGAGCGAACGCUGGCGGCAGGCCUAACACAUGCAAGUCGAGCGCCCGUAGCAAUACGGGAGCGACAGACGGGAUAGUAACACGUGGGAACGCGCCCUUCGGUUCGGAAUAACUCAGGGAAACUUGAGCUAAUACCGAAUACGCCCUUACGGGGAAAGAUUUAUUGCCGAAGGAACGGCCCGCGUCCGAUUAGCUAGUUGGUGAGGUAAUGGCUCACCAAGGCUACGAUCGGUAGCUGGUCUGAGAGGAUGACCAGCAUCACUGGGACUGAGACACGGCCCAGACUCCUACGGGAGGCAGGCAGUGGGGAAUAUUGGACAAUGGGCGCAAGCCUGAUCCAGCCAUGCCGCGUGGAUGAUGAAGGCCUUAGGGUGUAAAGUCCUUUAACGGGAAGAUAAUGACGUACCCGUAGAAUAAGCCCGGCUAACUUCGUGCCAGCAGCCGC